UGAUGGUGUUAAUGGUGAGGACUUAAAAUUAACAAAAGAUGCAGAGCUUAAGCCAAAGGAUAAUUUAGUCAAUAGCAAGGAGUUAAAGCCAGCAAAAGAUGUGGAAUCGAAGCCAGUGAAAGAUGUGGAAUCGAAGCCAGUGAAAGAUGUGGAAUCAAAGCCAAUGGAGGAUAUUCUUGAUACUGAGGAACUGAAGUCAGUGAAGAUAAAGGAGUUCGAUGCAUUGAAGGAUGGCGAGGUAAAAACAUU
rnacentral:lncRNA from 1 species